AUACUUACCUGGACGGGGUCAAUGGGCGAUCAUAAAGGUCCAUGGCCUAGGUUGGUGACCUCCAUUGCACUCUGGAGGGGUGCCCGCCUAAGAUCGAUCCAAGUGGUCGAGUCUACGUCAUAAUUUGUUACUGAGGGGGCCUGCGUUCGCGCGGCCCCUGC
rfam:Solanum tuberosum cultivar DM 1-3 516 R44 scf00131_51, whole genome shotgun sequence.